UCAUUCGGUCAUACCAUGGUGGAAACACCAGAUCCCAUCCGAACUCUGAAGUUAAGCAUCAUUGGGCUUGCCUAGUACUGAGGUGGGGGACCACUCGGGAACCGUAAGUGCUGAAUGAC
rfam:Ceratocystis platani strain CFO contig_01011, whole genome shotgun sequence.